rnacentral:rRNA from 1 species
CCUACGGGAGGCAGCAGUGGGGGAUAUUGCACAAUGGGGGAAACCCUGAUGCAGCGACGCCGCGUGUGGGAAGACGUUCCUCUGGAUUGUAAACCACUGUCCCCAGGGACGAAGAUGACGGUACCUGGGGCUGAAUCUCCGGCUAACUACGUGCCAGCAGCCGCGUUAAUACGUAGGGAGCGAGCGUUGUCCGGAAUUACUGGGUGUAAUGGGAGCGUAGGCGGGGAUGCAAGUUGGGUGUAAAAACUACCGGCUCAACUGGUAGGCGCACGCAAAACGGCAGUUCUUGAGUGAAGUAGAGGCAGGCGGAAUGCCUAGUGUAGCGGUGAAAUGCGUAGAUAUUAGGAGGAACACCAGUGGCGAAGGCGGCCUGCUGGGCUUUUACUGACGCUGAGGCUCGAAAGUGUGGGGAUCAAACAGGAUUAGAUACCCUGGUAGUC